rnacentral:rRNA from 2 species
UACGAAGGUCCCAAGCGUUAUCCGGAUUUAUUGGGUUUAAAGGGUGCGUAGGCGGACUAUUAAGUCAGUGGUGAAAUCCUGCAGCCUAACUGUAGAAUUGCCAUUGAUACUGAUGGUCUUGAGUACAUUUGAAGUGGGCGGAAUGUGUCAUGUAGCGGUGAAAUGCUUAGAUAUGACACAGAACACCGAUUGCGUAGGCAGCUCGCUAAACUGUAACUGACGCUGAGGCACGAAAGCGUGGGGAGCAAACAGG